rnacentral:rRNA from 1 species
UACGGAGGGGACUAGCGUUGUUCGGAAUUACUGGGCGUAAAGCGCACGUAGGCGGAUUUGUUAGUCAGGGGUGAAAUCCCGAGGCUCAACCUCGGAACUGCCUUUGAUACUGCAAAUCUCGAGUCCGGAAGAGGUGAGUGGAAUUCCUAGUGUAGAGGUGAAAUUCGUAGAUAUUAGGAAGAACACCAGUGGCGAAGGCGGACUCACUGGUCCGGUACUGACGCUGAGGUGCGAAAGCGUGGGGAGCAA